rnacentral:rRNA from 1 species
GAUGAACGCUGGCGGCGCGCCUAACACAUGCAAGUCGAACGGUUAAAGCUACUUCGGUAGUGCAUAGAGUGGCGAACGGCUGAGUAACACGUGGACAACCUGCCCUCCCCACCGGGACAGCCGCGGGAAACCGCGAUUAAUACCGGGUACGCCCCGCCCCCCGCAUGGGGGGCGGGGGAGAGCUAUCGCGGGGGAGGAGGGGUCCGCGGCCCAUCAGGCAGUCGGCGGGGUAACGGCCCACCGAGCCGACGACGGUUAGCCGGGUGGAGAGACCGACCGGCCAGAUUGGGACUGAGACACGGCACAGACUCCUACGGGAGGCAGCAGUGGGGAAUAUUGCGCAAUGGGGGGAACCCUGACGCAGCGACGCCGCGUGCGGGAUGAAGGCCCUCGGGUCGUAAACCGCUUUCAGCGGGGAAGAGAAUGACGGUACCCGCAGAAGAAGCCCCGGCUAACUACGUGCCAGCAGCCGCCGUAAUAC